ACAGAAUCCUACCUUGAUCAAUAAAGCUUUCAUCUUAUAUUCGCAAUAUCCAGAUUGCAAUCUCAGUUUCUUGCUUGUUCUUCGUUUGCUCGCACGAAACAGCCCCUCGUGGUCAGAUUGAUCAUGCUCCGUCGUGGUCAAUAACCUCUCGGAGUUGGUUUAGCGAUUGCUAAGGCGCGACGUCCUCGCAUGUUCGUAAUCGGAUCGUCAAAGUCGACUUCCACCAAAGCGAUAUUCAUCAUCUCAUCGAAAGACGGGACACCUUUGCCUCUAUCAUAUGCGGUCGUCGGUGGCGCCUGGUUGCAAAUCCGGCGCAAGUUAGUCGAGUCAGCCGAUGGUGAGGUGAAGGAGCAGAGUAGGCGACCCGUCGCGAUGGGAUGAGGCUACAGGGAAGAGGGUCAUGUCCCGUGGUGGCCCAGAUGCAGCCGCCCCAUGGCGGGCCUCGACGAGCACGGCCUCGAUCCGGCCUCAGCCGGAGGACCUCGAGCCAAGGAGUGCGGCCUCGAUUGGGACUCGGCAUCUGGGGCGACGACGGAGGAGGAGGGGAAAGGAGGGGAGCAGCAGCUAGCAUCUGGGGCGGCGGCGGCUGGACUCCAUGAGCUGGUCGAGGUGCUUCAUGUCAAGGAAGCAGCUGACAGUGCAAGCUGAGUGAUCCACGGCGAGGAAGAUGGGGAAGACAGAGCCAACACCGCCGAUUCCCACGGACCACUUCAGUUAGUUUCUGUACUAUGCGCUUGACAAAAUGACAAGGCCGUGCAGCAGAGCAUAAAAUGGAGCCGGCAACAGGGAUGAUGGGAUAAACAAUGGUGGCUGAACAGUGGAAACCCGAAGCUGGCUGAGAAAGAGGGAGGCAGUGCGUGGCGGAAGAGGGCGUCCAUGUGGUAUCCGUUUCUGGUCAUCUUCAGCUUGCAGGUGAGCGGUUUAAUAAAAUUGUAGCCAGUCCAUACUACAUGCUCCCAGAGGUAUUAAAGCACAAGUGUGGCCCUGAAAUCGAUGUCUGGAUUGUAGGAGUUAUACUUUACAUACUUCUUUGUGGUGUGCAAACAUUUUUGGAAGAUUCUGAACAGGGAGUAGCACAAGCAAUUAUGUGCUCAGUGGUAGAUUUCAAAAGAGACCCAAUGCCCAGAGUAUCUGAGCCUGCUAAAGACUUUGUUCGACAGACGCUGGAUCCCAAUCCCAAUCACACGGUUUACUACAACACACGUACUCGGUGGUGUCUGUCGGUAGGAUCUCCCUAAACAUGUGUCAUCAAAUCCAACUGCAAGCUACACGACAAGCUAUGAUUGAAUACCAUGUACAACUGACCUGCUGAUUUUGCUGCUGUGCUGGUCAGGGAGUGCGUCCACUGACAUACGGACACAAGAGAUAUUCAGUUAUGAGGAUUAGGAUAUUAAUGAUCGUUCAGUCAUUGAGGAUUAAAAGAGGCAUCAAUGCUCCAGUAGAGGUGGUAUUGAAGUCGUGGCUGUCAGUAGACCUUUUAUUGAUGCUAACUACAUGCCAUGGAGUGAGUCCAGUGACAUACAGAUAUGAGAGAUAUUCGGUUAUGAGGAUUGGGGAAAUUAAUGAUCAUUCAGUCAUUGCGGAUUUGAAAGGAGACAUCAAGGCAGCAAAUGGGGCAGUAUUUUGAUCUCAUUUCAUCUGACGCAUUGAAUAUUUGUUGUCUUCUUUACAUGCCACCAAGUUCAUGUUGCUUUUCUUGUAUGAUUAUUUUGUAGUCUGCUCCACUGUGAACUUAAAUGAAGACCUAGGUUGAUUUCUAAUUUGUGAAUGUCAUUGAGCUGCUGCUACACACGCUGAAAGAUUGGGUUGGUAGACUGAUGUACAUUUGUUCAGUUCUUCCAUUGUUUAGAUGAUUCAGAAUUUGGCUCAGGCCAGUGGAUAAAAUAUGCUUAUUUGCAUGGUUGCUGGUGUAUGUUGGUCAUGCAUCUAAACUCACUUACUUCCCAUGAUUUUAGGAUGGCUGCUAAGCUUCUCCUUUUGCUGAAAAGUCUAUGGGCGAAUGUGUUGCUGUGGAUAGCUUGCCUGUAUGCAGAAUCUAUCCUUAGAUUCUAUGAGAUGAUGCAUUGGUGUGGUCAGCCUACCUGUGUGCAGAAUCUUUGUUUACAUUUUGUCAGAAUUUUGCUUUCUUCCUUAUUGUUCCCAUGGCGGUCUGAUCCUGUAGAUAAAUCGUGUGCGUGUCUAUGAUCUACUAUGUCUGGUGCAUGUCUAUGUAGUUAUCCGAUGCAUGUCUAUGUAGUUAUCUGUUUAAUAAACUUAUACUUAGUUGGGUUGUCUGGAGAGUAUAAUAUGGUUGAAUGAUUGUUUGCAUGAUCAUAUCAUCAUUUGGGGGAUUGGUUUGAGUUCCUCAGGAAAUUUAAUUGUUCUGCCAUAAAACUUCACUGUGAAAAUUUUAAUUUCCAAGUUGACGUUCGGUCAUAUACAGGAAAAACUCACAUUUAUUUGUAUCUCAACUUUAUUGGUUUAUUUAACUAUGUAUAUUAUAAGAUUGGAGAUGGAAAAACUUUUGGUUUUGAAUGUGUCUUCUGUAGUUAGCAAACUGUUGCUAUUCUUGCAGUCUAUGAGAGCUAAAUUUACAGGGCGAGACUAGAUCCCAUCUGUUUGGAUUCAUCGUGUGCAUUGGAGCCACUGCUGCAAGAGCGUUGAACACUGUGUUGCAAGUAAUUCUUCUGUCGUCCGAGGGGGAGAAACUUAAUUCUAUGAACCUGCUCUUGUACAUGGCUCCAAUUGUUCUCAUUCUCUUGCUUCCUGCUACCCUCUUUAUGGAGGAUAAUGUUGUUGGCGUUACAACAGAACUGGUCAAAAAGGAUUUCACUAUUGUUUGGUUGCUGUUGUUCAACUCUUGCUUGUAAUAUCCUGUCAAUUUCACCAAUUUCUUGGUGACGAAACAUACUAGCGCAUUGGCACUACAUGUACGCCAUGCUUUCUCACUGUUAAUUAAAUUCAUUCUCAUGCAUAAGUUACUGGAGCAUAGUUUAGCAGGUUGUGCAAGAGGUUCUACCACCUUGUAUUCCCUCCGUCCGAAAAAGCUUGUCUCUCAAAUGGAUGUAUCUAGCAUCAAGUUAGUGCUAGAUACAUCCAUUUGAAGAACAAGCUUCGGACAAGUUUUUUUCAGACAGAGGGAGUAGAUUUGAUUUAAAAAUGUAGUAAAAUGAUCUAUAAUCAUCAGUUCAUGACAAUGUAUAUAACUCACAUCUGCAGCAGAGUAUGGCUUUUAAUUAAUGUAAUGUACCUUUGGAGGUAA